UACGGGGGGAGCAAGCGUUGUUCGGAUUUACUGGGCGUAAAGGGCUCGUAGGCGGCCGGCUAAGUCCGACGUGAAAUCCCCAGGCUUAACCUGGGAACUGCGUCGGAUACUGGCGGGCUUGAAUCCGGGAGAGGGAUGCGGAAUUCCAGGUGUAGCGGUGAAAUGCGUAGAUAUCUGGAGGAACACCGGUGGCGAAGGCGGCAUCCUGGACCGGCAUUGACGCUGAAUAGCGAAAGCCAGGGGAGCAAAACGGGG
rnacentral:rRNA from 1 species